rnacentral:rRNA from 1 species
UGUAGCCUACGGGGCGCAGCAGUGAGGAAUAUUGGUCAAUGGCCGAGAGGCUGAACCAGCCAAGUCGCGUGAGGGAAGACGGCCCUACGGGUUGUAAACCUCUUUUGUCGGGGAGCAAAGCGAACCACGUGUGGUUCAUUGAGAGUACCCGAAGAAAAAGCAUCGGCUAACUCCGUGCCAGCAGCCGCGGUAAUACGUAGGUGGCAAGCGUUAUCCGGAUUUAUUGGGCGUAAAGGGAACGCAGGCGGUCUUUUAAGUCUGAUGUGAAAGCCUUCGGCUUAACCGGAGGAGUGCAUUGGAAACUG